CACGUCACAUAAACCGGGUCGCAAGGCUCAGCUCAGCGGGGCCCCCCCACAGUGUUGCGGGACCAGCACCUUCUCGAGCUCCGGAACAGCUUCUACCCGCGCAGAGCCCGGCCCGUCGGCGGCCGCUCUCCGCGCCCCUCCCGGGCCCUGCAGCCCCCGCCCUGCUCCGCGGAGCAGCCUGUUCUGACCUCCGUUCCAUGGAGCCCUACGUGCUGUGGCUUCUGUGUUCCGGCGCCUUUCGCUUAGAAUCGCGUCUUAAAGGUUCGUCCGCGGUGGAGCGGGGAUCAGGCCCGUGUUCCUUUUCAGGAGUGAAUAAUAUUCCCUGGUAUGGAGACUGCGCUGAGAUAGGACCUGGGCCACCCCCUCUGAUUAUUUCCCGCCCACCCCUUCACUGGCGCCAGCCCCACGGAGACCUCGCAGGUGCCGUGAGAAAGUGGAGAUGAGCAGAGUCUGGACGCAUGCGCGGGGCCGGGAGGUGCCGGCCGCAGCCUGCGCCGUCUCCUAAUGCGGAAAUCUGCACCCAGGGCGGAACUCGCCGGUGUCUUCCGCGCGCGCACUGCACGUGUCGGCAUCCUUUCUAGUGCGCCUGCGCAGCCAGCACCGCCUGCACCUGCGCUGACGCUCGCUGACAGCAGUACCCUCCUGGGAAGCCACGCAGGACCCGUCUUCGGGAGCCCGAGAGCCUCCUUCCCGGGCGCCAGUCUUAAUAAACUUUGUAUGUGUGUGAUGGAGCCUCGCUCUUUUGCCCAGGCUCACUGCAAACUCCGCCUCUCGGGUUCAGGCAAUUCUCCCGCCUCAGCCUCCCUAGUAGCCGGGACUACAGGUGCCCGCCACCACAUCCUGCAAAUUUUUUUUUUUUUUUUUUUUGGUAGAGAUGGGGUUUCACCAUGUUGCCCAAGCUGGUCUCGAACUCCUGACCUCAGGUGAUCCGCCCGCGUUGGCCUCCCAAAGUGCUGGGAUUACAGGCAUGAGCACCACGCCGGCCUUAAUAGACGUUAUCUGGGAGAAGUUUGUCGGGCCUCUUGUCGGUUUCUGUUGCUUGGCAAGAAAGCACGAGGCCGGGCGCGGUGGCUCACUCCUGUAAUCCCAGCACUUUGGAAGGCCGAGGUGGGCGGAUCACGAGGUCAGGAGAUCGAGACCAUCCUGGCUAACAUGGUGAAACCCCAUCUCUACUAAAAAUACAAAAAAUUAGCCGCGUGUGGUGGUGGGCGCCUGUAGUCCCAGCUACUCGGUAGGCUGAGGCAGGAGAAUGGUGUGAACCAGGGAGGCGGAGCUUGCAGUGAGCCAAGAUCACGUCACUGCGCUCCAGUCUGGGAAACAGAGCAAGACUCUGUCUCAAAAAAAAAAAAAAAAAAAAAAAAAGCAUGCAUUUAAGCAGUAACUCCCCAUUCCCCCCAUGCACCCACUCCUGGUUAACCUCUCUUCUCUCUGUCUCUGAACUUGCCUCCUGUGAAGACCUUGUGUAAGUGGAAUAUUGCAAUAUUUGUCCUUCGCCUAGCCUCAUGUUCUCAAGGUUCAUUCAUCUGUGUUGCAGCCUCUUUCCAUAAUUGGUUCCAUUUUAUGAAUAUUGAAACUGGCCCAAUUGUCCCAUAGAAGUGAUGUUUAUGGUUUCUUUUAAAUAAACCUAGAAAUUGGCCCUCUGAAUCUUAGAACUUGAGAAAGUUACAUUUGUCCUAUCUGAGUUCCUUUCUCAGGAAACCAACCACUGGGCCUCCAGAUCGCACCAAGAAGCUGAAAUCCACCAGAUCACAGCAUCUGGACAAUGAGAUGAGAGACACCUCACCCUUCAUGAUUGCCCAGCUGGCCACCUGCUCCCAUUGACCAGCUCUUCCUUACCCUCCCUAAUUCCCAUUUUCUCACACACAGAUGCAUUUCUUCCCUGCUAAAAACCCCUAAUUUUAGGUGGUUGAGGUCAUGGGGUGACUCUGAGUAACAGUCAGAGGAACCUCCAAAUGGGUUUCCGAGGUGGCUGCUCUUUACAUUCCCAUGAGCAGUACAGGGGGCGCGGUUUCCCCACAGCCUUGCCGUCGCUUACCUCUCAUUUUCAGUGAUUUUAUUUGAGAAACAUACAUUCACCCGUCCAAACCCAAGGAAUAGACUCGGAGACUUGAGGAACAGGCGGAGCUCGCAGUGAGCCGAGAUCGCACCUCUGCACUCCAGGAGGCUGAGGCAGGAGAAUGGCGUGAACCCGGGAGGCGGAGCUUGCAGUGAGUCAAGAUCCCACCUCUGCACUCCAGCCUGAGCAACAGAGCGAGACUCCGUCUCAAAAAAAAAAAAAAAAAAAAAAGGACCAUUUAAAAUGUUUUCUUACAUUUUAUUGUAGUAAAAUACAUGUAACAUAAAACUUAUUAUGUAAGCGAUUUUAAGUGUGCAGUUCAGUGGUAUUAAAUACAUAAUAUGUCAUCUUGUGCAACUAUCAACCCCGUCUCCUUUUUUCCUUUUUUGUUUUUUGAGAUGGAGUCUCACUGUAUCGCCCAGGCUGGAGUGCAAGGGCACGAUCUCAGCUCACUGCAACCUCCAUUUCCCGGAUUCAAGCGAUUCUCCUGCCUCAGCCUCCCUAGUAGCUGGGAUUACAGGCACAUGCCACCACGCCUGGCUAAUUUUUGUAUUUUUAGUAGAGAUGGGGUUUCACCAUGUUGGCCAGGCUGGUCUUGAACUCUUGACCUCAAGUGAUCCUAUUAUGAACAUGAGUAUAGAAACAUCUCUUAGACCCUGCUUUGAGUUCUUUUCAGUUUGUAUAUGAAAUUGCUGGAUCAUGUAGUAGUUCCAUUUUUAAUUUGGAAUCACCACGGGGUUUUGGACAGCAGCUGCACCAUUUUACAUCCCACCCGCAGCAUCUGUACAUCCUCACAAAGGUUGUUACUCUCUGCGCUCUCCAUGCUAUUCCACUGGUCUAUAUGUCUCUAAAUGUCUGUUUUUCUUUUUUCUUUUUGAGAUGGAGUCUCGCUCUGACUCCCAAGUUGGAGUGCAGUGGCACAAUCUCAGCUCACUGCAACCUCUGCCUCCUGGGUUCAAGUGACUCUCCUGCGUCAGCCUCCUGAGUAGCUGGGAUUACAGGCUCCCACCACCACACGCAGCUAAUUUUUGUAUUUUUAGUAGAGACGGGGUUUCACCAUGUCGGCCAGGAUGCUCUCAAUCUCUUGACCUCGUGAUCUGCCUGCCUCAGCCACCCAAAGUGUUGGGAUUACAGGCGUGAGCCACCGCGCCUGGCCACCGCCCGAUUUUUUUUCUAUUGAUUUCCUGUUUUCAAUUUCAUUGAUUUCUCUUCUAAUUUUCAUUUAGUUAUUUAUCUUUUCUUCUUCCUGCUUUCAUUGGGUUAAUUUGCUCUUCUUCUUGCUUCCCAAGGUGAAAGUUUGGAUGACUGAUUGUAGAUCUCGCCUCUUCUCUAAUACAUACAUUCCGUGCUAUCAGUUGGCCACUAUGCAUUGCUUUUGCUGCAUCCCACGAGUUUU
rnacentral:lncRNA from 1 species